CGCGGGCACUUUGCUGACUCUAUAGAACCUCGGGCUAAUCGCACAUCCCCGUGACGGUGACUUUUCAUUCGGAUGUCAUCCAUAUCAACUUUCUAUGCCAGUUUCUGUGCCUACCAUGGUGACCACGGGUAACAUGGAAUCAGGGUUCGAUUCUGUACAGGGACCCUGAGAAACGGCUACCACAUGCAAGGAAGGCAGCAGGCGCGCAAAUGACCCACUCCCGACGCGGGAAGGUAGUGACG